UGAAGUUACAGAUGGUUGUGACCUGUCAUGU
rnacentral:piRNA from 1 species